rnacentral:rRNA from 1 species
CUACGGGAUGCACCAGUGAGGAAUAUUGCGCAAUGGGGGAAACCCUGACGCAGCGACGCCGCGUGGAUGAUGAAGGCCUUAGGGUCGUAAAAUCCUGUCAGGUGGGAAGAAGUGGAUAUAGAUUAAUACUCUAUUUCUUUGACGGUACCACCAAAGGAAGCACCGGCUAACUCCGUGCCAGCAGCCGCGGUAAUACGGAGGGUGCAAACGUUGUUCGGAAUUACUGGGCGUAAAGCGCGCGUAGGCGGUUUGUUAAGUCAGAUGUGAAAGUCCGUGGCUCAACUAGGGAAGUGCAUUUGAAACUGGCAGACUUGAGUACUGGAGGGGGUGAUGGAAUUCCCGGUGCAGAGGUGAAAUUCGUAGAUAUCGGGAGGAAUACCGGUGGCGAAGGCGAUCACCUGGCCAGAUACUGACGCUGAGGUGCGAAAGCGUGGGGAGCAAACAGGAUUAGAUACCCUCGUAGUC